CUUGCCGUCUCGCUGGAAUACACUCGGAGCGACUGAGCUAUGGACGCCCGGCAAAACGCGAAGGCUAGCAGUGGACUGCAGUCCACCAGCUGCAGGAGUUCUGAUGUCACUACCUCACUGCUUUGGGCCAGACACAGUACUCCACCGGCAGGAGACAAGACAGGAGCAAUGACAUCACUUCCUCACAGCCAGUAAACAGAUGUUCUACACUGCACAGGACCACCAGAGCAACCUGAAGGAGCUAUGAUGUCACUACCUCAUCCCCGGUGGACAGGAACUGCA